rnacentral:rRNA from 1 species
UAUUUUUGGUGACUCAUAAUAACUUUACGGAUCACAUUAUGUGACAUAUCAUUCAAGUUUCUGACCUAUCAGCUUUAGACGGUAGGGUAUUGGCCUACCGUGGCUAUGACGGGUAACGGGGAAUUAGGGUUCGAUUCCGGAGAGGGAGCCUGAGAAACGGCUACCACAUCUAAGGAAGGCAGCAGGCGCGCAAAUUACCCAAUCCUAAUACAGGGAGGUAGUGACAAGAAAUAACAAUACAGAACCUUACGGUUUUGUAAUUGGAAUGAGUUAAGUAUAAACCCCUUAACAAGUAUCAAUUGGAGGGCAAGUCUGGUGCCAGCAGCCGCGGUAAUUCCAGCUCCAAUAGCGUAUAUUAAAGUUGUUGCAGUUAAAAAGCUCGUAGUUAAUCUUCUGUUAAUUUUUAUAUAUAAUAUCACGAUAUUUAUAUAAUAUUAACAUAAUUCAUAUUACUUUUUAGUAUAUGAAACUUUACUUUGAGAAAAUUAGAGUGCUUAAAGCAGGCUAUUGCCUUGAAUACUCCAGCAUGGAAUAAUAUUAAGGAUUUUUAUUCUUCUUAUUGGUUCUAGAAUAAAAAUGAUGAUUAAUAGGGACAGUUGGGGGCAUUUGUAUU